AACGAACGCUGGCGGCAGGCCUAACACAUGCAAGUCGAGCGCACCUUCGGGUGAGCGGCGGACGGGUUAGUAACGCGUGGGAAUAUGCCCUUCACUACGGAAUAGCCUCGGGAAACUGAGAGUAAUACCGUAUACGCCCUUCGGGGGAAAGAUUUAUCGGUGAAGGAUUAGCCCGCGUCUGAUUAGAUAGUUGGUGGGGUAACGGCCUACCAAGUCUACGAUCAGUAGCUGGUUUGAGAGGAUGAUCAGCAACACUGGGACUGAGACACGGCCCAGACUCCUACGGGAGGCAGCAGUGGGGAAUCUUAGACAAUGGGCGCAAGCCUGAUCUAGCCAUGCCGCGUGAGUGACGAAGGCCUUAGGGUCGUAAAGCUCUUUCGCCAGAGAUGAUAAUGACAGUAUCUGGUAAAGAAACCCCGGCUAACUCCGUGCCAGCAGCCGCGGUAAUACGGAGGGGGUUAGCGUUGUUCGGAAUUACUGGGCGUAAAGCGUACGUAGGCGGAUUGGAAAGUUGGGGGUGAAAUCCCGGGGCUCAACCCCGGAACUGCCUCCAAAACUAUCAGUCUAGAGUUCGAGAGAGGUGAGUGGAAUUCCAAGUGUAGAGGUGAAAUUCGUAGAUAUUUGGAGGAACACCAGUGGCGAAGGCGGCUCACUGGCUCGAUACUGACGCUGAGGUACGAAAGUGUGGGGAGCAAACAGGAUUAGAUACCCUGGUAGUCCACACCGUAAACGAUGAAUGCCAGACGUCGGGGGGCUUGCCCUUCGGUGUCACACCUAACGGAUUAAGCAUUCCGCCUGGGGAGUACGGUCGCAAGAUUA
rnacentral:rRNA from 1 species